CCCGGCCAAACUUCAAUCCGCGUGUGACAGAGGCUUCCCCUCUCGCAGAUCCGGGUUGUUGCUCCCAGAGCCAGCGUUUGAGUCCUUGAAGGAAGUUGCCCAAAGCACCAAGACCUGCACCUUGAGAUCCAGAACCACUUCCCCAGAGAACCAGGGGUUCAUACUUCUCCGGGCAGACCUGGCAGCUAACAGAUUCUGUACAACCAGCAGAUGCUCAGUAAUACUACAGGUGCUGAGCAAAGGUCUACGCUCACCUCCAAGACCAGCAUUUCAAAUCUGGCCUCUGGGGAUGUUCUUGAAGUAGGAGGUCAUUUUGCGCUCUUUGUGGGCUCUGUAGCUGUUGAGCAAAAAGAAGGGAGGGGAACUGCAUCUGGACACCCCUUCUGCCCCCAUCACCUCCCAUUUCUCAAGAUGUGAUGGAAGACACUUCAGAGAACCAGGAGAGGGAGGGGAGCAGAGGCCAGCGGUGCUGGCCUCCCUGCAAAAGGAAUGCAGAACUCCCUGCCCUGUCUGCCACCGUGGACUCCAACAGAUACAGGAGCUUUUCCCGCGCCCCUUACCUGCCCCCACACCCCCUCUUC